rnacentral:rRNA from 1 species
AUUGAACGCUGGCGGCAGGCCUAACACAUGCAAGUCGAGCGAGCGGCGGACGGGUGAGUAAUGUAUGGGGACUGCCCGCUAGAGGGGGAUAACUACUGGAAACGGUAGCUAAUACCGCAUACUAUCGGAUAACCCAUAUGGGAUUAGCUAGUAGGUGAGGUAAUGGCUCACGUAGGCGACGAUCCCUAGCUGGUCUGAGAGGAUGAUCAGCAAGCCUGGGACUGGGACACGGCCCAGACUCCUACGGAGGCAGCAGUGGGGAAGAUUGAACAAUGGUCGCAAGCCUGAUGCAGCCAUGCCGCGUGUAUGAAGAAGGCCUGAGGGUUGUAAAGUACGUUCAGUCGGGAGGCGUUACCGACAGAAGAAGCACCGGCUAACUCCGUGCCAGCAGCCGCGGUAAUAC